CCAAAAGCUGGCGACCGGCGCACGGGUGAGUAACACGUAUCCAACCUGCCGAUAAUUCGGGGAUAGCCUUUCGAAAGAAAGAUUAAUACCCGAUGGUAUAAUCAGACCGCAUGGUUUGAUUAUUAAAGAAUUUCGGUUAUCGAUGGGGAUGCGUUCCAUUAGGCAGUUGGUGAGGUAACGGCUCACCAAACCUUCGAUGGAUAGGGGUUCUGAGAGGAAGGUCCCCCACAUUGGAACUGAGACACGGUCCAA
rnacentral:rRNA from 1 species